CAAAUGCUGAGACAUCAGGUUUGACGUAAAUGUUUUUGUUUUUUUAAACUCUAUUGAGAAAUUAUAACGUUAGUACAACACCUCACUUAAAAGUAUAGCGCAGUCUUUAAACCAGAUCCCCAAAAUGUAUUUUCACGUCGUUCUUGUUCUAGACGACCUGCUCUAUGCCCUUGUUUACUUCCAUUAUAAACAACUGUACAGCAGCGUUGUAGUCUGCGUGAUACUAUAGGAAAAGUCAAGGAUUCCCAUAUACCCACUAACGAGAGCGCGAUGACACGUAACAACAUCAUCGUGACAGAACGUUGUCACUUUCAUUCAUAAAUUCACACCCGUCUGUGUGUACAGUCAGAGCCAUUCUCUAUUCCUCUAUACACUGUGAGAAUCUAUAUAUCUAUUACUCAUAAUCAGAAAUGUGAUCAAUUGAAGCAGUGAAACAUGGGACAUGUCACGGUCUGACUCGGCUUUGGAGGUGUGGUUUCAGGCUGGGAGAGCAGGUUUCCGUGGUUACCUGGGCGGAGUCUGGUGGCUGCCUGCGGUCACAGCUGAACCCCUCUUAAGGAACAGCAGGAGCACCAGUCUUCGCCAGAUCGUUUUGCCUUCCUAGUGCCUGCUUCUCGGAACCUGACGGAUUCCCCGGCUUCCCCUCUCGCCCUCCGCGGCUUGAGAGAACUCCUCCAGCCAGCCGGAUCUUUACCUUUCCCUCCAGCGUGGGUUCUAUCUACCGCACCGCUCCUGCCGCCUGGACCCCUGUGCCUCUCCAGCAUCUUCCCCGGCCACGGAUCCCGAACUAAGUCCCUCUGCUGCCAAAAAUAAAAUCUUUUAUUUCUCUGGAUCCUGCUUUUGAGUCCAACCCUCGUUCUGGCUAUCACCCCAUGACAGGACAUCCAAAUAAACCAAGAGAACUUUACGAAGAGCACGACAUGCAGGGGCUUUCCAGAUGUUCUCUGCACCGCAACGAGACAGUGUGUGAGAUGGUGGAUGCUCGACUGCAGCAUGUGGUGUUCUUGCAGAGGCCAUUUUUUCAGAAUAUAACUUAAUGGCCAUUUAAUAAAAACUCAUUAUGAAGCAGCUGAUCUGUGGACCCGCUGUUUAAGUGCUUCUCAAAGCUUCUUUAAACGCUGUCCGAUCCUUUAGUUGCG
ensembl:lncRNA